rnacentral:rRNA from 1 species
AGAACGAACGCUGGCGGCAUGCCUAAUACAUGCAAGUCGAACGAACACUUCGGUGUUAGUGGCGCACGGGUGCGUAACGCGUGGGAAUCUGCCCUUGGGUUCGGAAUAACAGUUGGAAACGACUGCUAAUACCGGAUGAUGACGAAAGUCCAAAGAUUUAUCGCCCAGGGAUGAGCCCGCGUAGGAUUAGCUAGUUGGUGAGGUAAGGGCUCACCAAGGCGACGAUCCUUAGCUGGUCUGAGAGGAUGAUCAGCCACACUGGGACUGAGACACCGGCCCAGACCUCCGUACGGGAGGCAGCAGUAGGGAAUAUUGGACAAUGGGCGCAAGCCUGAUCCAGCAAUCGACCGCGUGAGUGAUGAAGGUCCGUUGGGUUAGUAAA